GCACUCUAACUUUAGUUUAAGUGAAUGGAUCUCUAUGAAAUUUUACCAUAAGGUUCAAUACCACGAAAGGAAGGUUGGGAUUGAUUUUGGGGGUUAUGGUACCAACAGUUAAGGAAUUAGGGGCCAAAAAGGGGCCAAAAAUAAGCAUUUUUGUAACUUCCAGACAAUAACUUGUGUGUAAGUGUAUGGAUCUCUCUGACAUUGUACCACAAGGUUCCAUAUCACAAAGGAAAGGCUGUAAUUGAUUUUGGGGGUAAUUGCCUCAAAAUUUUAGGAAUUAGGGGCAAAAAAAGGGGCAAAAAACAAGCAUUUUUCUAGUUUCAUGACAAUAACUUGUGUGUAAGUGUUUGGAUAUUUCUGAAAUUGUACUACAAGGUUCCAUAUCACAAAGGGAAAGCUGGAAUUGAGUUUGGGGGUAAUUGCCCGAAACGUUUAGGAAUUGGGGGCCAAAAAGGGGCCAAAAAUAAGCAUUUUUCUAGUUUCCAGACAAUAACUUGUGUUCAAGUGUAUGGAUCUCUCUGAAAUUGUACUGCAAGGUACCAUACCACAAAGGGAAGGCUGGGAUUGAGUUUGGGGGUGAUGAAUUAUAAGGGGGUUCAAAAAAUUUGGGGGGGGAUUUUUUUUAACUUUUUUUUUCUUUUUUUCCUUUUUUUUUUCUUUUAAAAUGUUCCAUUUUAAGUUGGUUAUUUCUGAUUAAUAUUUAAAAGCAAAUAAUAAUGAUAUGGUAGGAGAUACACACCAAACAGGAUGUGUAAAUUAUUAUAUAAUAAGUAUUGUGCAAUAGCAAGAAAUUUUCAAUUGCACAGUAUUGCACAAUAGCAAGAAAUCUUCAAUUGCACAGUAUUGCGCAAUAGCAAGAAAUCUUCGAUUGCACAGUAUUGCGCAAUAGCAAGAAAUAUCCAAUAGCACAAUAUUGCGCAAUAGCAAGAAAUUGUCAAUUGUACAGUAUUGCGCAAUAGCAAGAAAUAUUCAAUUGCACAGUAUUGUGCAAAAGAAGAUACUUCGUAUAAAUUGCUUAUUUCUUGAUCAAUUUCAAUGGGGUUUUAUUCUUGAAUUCUUGGGGUUCUUUAAUAUGCUGAAUCUAACCGUGUAUUAAGUUUUUGGAUUUUGGGCCCCGUUUUUAAAUUGGUCCACAUUGAGGUCCAAAGGGUCCAAAAUUUAACUUUGUUUGAUUUCAUCAAAAAUUGAAUUAUUGGGGUUCUUUGAUAUGCCGAAUCUAACCGUGUAUUUAGAUUCUUAAUUUUUGGUUCUGUUUUCAAAUUGGUCUACAUUAAGGUCCAAAGGGUCCAAAAUUAAACUUAGUUUGAUUUUAACAAAAAUUGAAUUUUUAGGGUUCUUUGAUAUGCUGAAUCUAAACAUGUAUUUAGAUUUUUGAUUAUGGGCCCAGUUUUCAAGUUGGUCCAAAUCGGGGUCCAAAAUUAAACUUUGUUUGAUUUCAACAAAAAUUGAAUAUAUGGGGUUCUUUGAUAUGCUGAAUUUAACCAUGUAUUUAGAUUUUUUGAUUUUUGGGCCCCGUUAUCAACUUUGUCCACAUUGAGGUCAAAAGGGUCCAAAAUUAAACUUUGUUUGAUUUCAUCAAAAAUUGAAUUCUUGGGGUUCUUUGAUAUGCUGAAUCUAACCAUGUAUUUAGAUUUUGGAUAUUGGACCAUAAUAGGUGAAUGUCCAAUUUAAAAUUUUUAAGUUCUUAGACCACAUUCAUUCUGUGUCAGAAACCUAUGCUGUGUCAAAUAUUUAAUCACAAUCCAAAUUCAGAGCUGUAUCAAGCUUGAAUGUUGUGUCCAUACUUGCCCCAACUGUUCAGGGUUCGACCUCUGCGGUCGUAUCAAGCUGCGCCCUGCGGAGCAUUUUAUUUCAUUUUUAAUGCUCUUCAACUUUGUAUUUAAUUUGUCCUUCCAAUUGUUUUGAUUUAUGUGCCACUGAUGAGUCUUUUGUAGACAAAAUGGCCAUCUGUCAUUCCUAAUUAUAUACCUGAUAUCUUUAAUAAGUUUUUGCAAAAGGUUCAAAGAACAAAAGAAAUACUUUGAAGCUAUUGGCCUCCAACAAAUAAAACAUGUGUUGGAAAAUCUAAAGGUAGUAUCACCCUGUAAUGAAUCCGGAUUUUGAUGCCUUUAAAUUGAACACACCUUGUACCACUGAGUUCAGACAGAGGAAAACAUAGUUGCCAACUCACAUGAUAUUUCGCGUGUAAUACAGGAGUAUUUACACUUUUAAGGAACUCCAAUAUUUAUUCUUUGGAAAUUUUGCUUCAUUAUAUUCUAUGCAGUAUAACUCAUUAAUUACUGCAAGGUUUUUAUACGACCGCGAAAAUUUUUGCGGUCGUAUAUUGGUAUGACGUUGUCGUCGUCGUCGUCGUCGUCGUCGGAAGACACAUUGGUUUUCGCACUCUAACUUUAGUUUAAGUGAAUGGAUCUCUAUGAAAUUUUACCAUAAGGUUCAAUACCACAAAUGGAAGGUUGGGAUUGAUUUUGGGGGUUAUGGUACCAACAGUUAAGGAAUUAGAGGCCAAAAAGGGGCCAAAAAUAAGCAUUUUUGUAACUUCCAGACAUAACUUGUGUGUUAGUGUAUGGAUCUCUCUGACAUUGUACCACAAGGUUCCAUAUCACAAAGGGAAUGCUGGGAUUGAUUUUGGGGGUAAUUGUCUCAAAAUAUUAGGAAUUAGGGGCCAAAAAAGGGGCAAAAAACAAGCAUUUUUCUAGUUUCAUGACAAUAACUUGUGUGAAAGUGUAUGGAUCUUUCUGAAAUUGAACUACAAGGUUCCAUAUCACAAAGGGAAAGCUGGAAUUGAGUUUGGGGGUAAUUGCCCGAAACGUUUUGGAAUAAGGGGCCAAAAAGGGGCCAAAAAUAAGCAUUUUUCUAGUUUCCAGACAAUAAAUUGUGUUCAAGUGUAUGGAUCUCUCUGAAAUUAUACCACAAGGUUCCAUAUCACACAGGGAAUGCUGGGAUUGAUUUUGGGGGUAAUUGCCUCAAAAUUUUAGGAAUUAGGGGCCAAAAAAGGGUAAAAAAACAAGCAUUUUUCUAGUUUCAUGACAAUAACUUGUGUGUAAGUGUUUGGAUAUUUCUGAAAUUGUACUAUAAGGUUCCAUAUCACAAAGGGAAAGCUGGAAUUGAGUUUGGGGGUAAUUGCCCGAAACGUUUAGGAAUUGGGGGCCAAAAAGGGGCCAAAAAUAAGCAUUUUUCUAGUUUCCAGAUAAUAACUUGUGUUCAAGUGUAUGGAUCUCUCUGAAAUUGUACUGCAAGGUACCAUACCACACAGGGAAGGCUGGGAUUGAGUUUGGGGGUGAUGAAUCAUAAGGGGGUUCAAAAAAUUUGGGGGGUGAUUUUUUUUUUUUCCUUUUUUUUAUCUUUUAAAAUUUUCCAUUUUAAGUUGGUUAUUUCUGAUUUAUAUUUAAAAGCAAAUAAUAAUGAUAUGGUAGGAGAUACACACCAAACAGGAUGUGUAAAUUAUUAUAUAAUAAGUAUUGUGCAAUAGUAAGAAAUUUUCAAUUGCACAGUAUUGCACAAUAGCAAGAAAUCUUCAAUUGCACAGUAUUGCGCAAUAGCAAGAAAUCUUCAAUUGCACAGUAAUGCGCAAUAGCAAGAAAUAUCCAAUAGCACAAUAUUGCGCAAUAGCAAGAACUUGUCAAUUGUGCAGUAUUGGGCAAUAGCAAGAACUUGUCAAUUGUGCAGUAUUGCGCAAUAGCAAGAAAUAUUCAAUUGCACAGUAUUGUGCAAAAGAAUAUACUUCGUUUCGUAUAAAUUGCUUAUUUCUUGACCAAUUUCAAUGGGGUUUUAUUCUUGAAUUCUUGGUGUUCUGUAAUAUGCUGAAUCUAACCGUGUAUUAAGUUUUUGGAUUUUGGGCCCCGUUUUUAAAUUGGUCCACAUUGAGGUCCAAAGGGUCCAAAAUUAAACUUUGUUUGAUUUCAUCAAAAAUUGAAUUAUUGGGGUUCUUUGAUAUACCAAAUCUAACCGUGUAUUUAGAUUCUUAAUUUUUGGUUCCGUUUUCAAAUUGGUCUACAUUAAGGUCCAAAGGGUCCAAAAUUAAACUAAGUUUGAUUUUAACAAAAAUUGAAUUCUUAGGGUUCUUUGAUAUGCUGAAUCUAAACAUGUAUUUAGAUUUUUGAUUAUGGGCCCAGUUUUCAAGUUGGUCCAAAUCGGGGUCCAAAAUUAAACUGUGUUUGAUUUCAACAAAAAUUGAAUAUAUGGGGUUUUUUGAUAUGCUGAAUCUAACCAUGUAUUUAGAUUUUUGAUUUUUGGGCCCUGUUAUCAACUUUGUCCACAUUGAGGUCAAAAGGGUCCAAAAUUAAACUUUGUUUGAUUUCAUCAAAAAUUGAAUUCUUGGGGUUCUUUGAUAUGCUGAAUCUAACCAUGUAUUUAGAUUUUGGAUAUUGGACCAUUAUAGGUGAAUGUCCAAUUUAAAAUUUUUAAGUUCUUAGACCACAUUCAUUCUGUGUCAGAAGCCUAUGCUGUGUCAAAUAUUUAAUCACAAUCCAAAUUCAGAGCUGUAUCAAGCUUGAAUGUUGUGUCCAUACUUGCCCCAACUGUUCAGGGUUAUGACCUCUGCGGUCGUAUCAAGCUGCGCCCUGCGGAGCAUUUUAUUUUUUC